AUGCUCACUUUGGCAGCACAUAUGCUAAAAUUGAAACAAUACCUAGAAGAUUAGCAUGGCCUCUGCACAAGGAUGACAUGCUAAUUCAUGAAGCACUCCAUAUUUUU